rnacentral:rRNA from 1 species
GAUGAACGCUGGCGGCGUGCCUAAUACAUGCAAGUCGAGCGAACAGACGAGGAGCUUGCUCCUCUGACGUUAGCGGCGGACGGGUGAGUAACACGUGGAUAACCUACCUAUAAGACUGGGAUAACUUCGGGAAACCGGAGCUAAUACCGGAUCAUAUAUUGAACCGCAUGGUUCAAUAGUGAAAGACGGUUUUGCUGUCACUUAUAGAUGGAUCCGCGCCGCAUUAGCUAGUUGGUAAGGUAACGGCUUACCAAGGCAACGAUGCGUAGCCGACCUGAGAGGGUGAUCGGCCACACUGGAACUGAGACACGGUCCAGACUCCUACGGGAGGCAGCAGUAGGGAAUAUUCCGCAAUGGGCGAAAGCCUGACGGAGCAACGCCGCGUGAGUGAAGAAGGUCUUCGGAUCGUAAAACUCUGUUAUUAGGGAAGAACAAAUGUGGAAGUAACUAUGCACGUCUUGACGGUACCUAAUCAGAAAGCCACGGCUAACUACGUG